UACGUAGGGGGCUAGCGUUGUCCGGAAUCAUUGGGCGUAAAGAGCUCGUAGGCGGUCUGUUGCGUCUGCUGUGAAAACUCGGGGCUUAACCCCGAGCCUGCAGUGGAUACGGGCAGACUAGAGGUAGGUAGGGGAGAAUGGAAUUCCCGGUGUAGCGGUGAAAUGCGCAGAUAUCGGGAGGAACACCGGUGGCGAAGGCGGUUCUCUGGGCCUUACCUGACGCUGAGGAGCGAAAGCGUGGGGAGCGAACAGG
rnacentral:rRNA from 1 species